rnacentral:rRNA from 1 species
AAUGAACGCUGGCGGCAUGGAUUAGGCAUGCAAGUCGAACGAUGAAGCAGUGCUUGCACUGUGAAUUAGUGGCGCAAGGGUGAGGAACGCGUGAGUAAUCUACCUCCAAGUCGGGGAUAGCCCGAGGAAACUCGGAUUAAUACCGGAUGUGGCCAAUGAGACGCAUGUUUUAUUGGCUAAAGAUUUAUUGCUUGGAGAUGAGCUCGCGUCCCAUCAGAUGGAUGGUGAGGUAACGGCUCACCAUAGCUGUGACGGGUAGCUGGUCUGAGAGGAUGGUCAGCCACACUGGGACUGAGACACUGCCCAGACUCCUACGGGAGGCUGCAGUCGAGAAUCUUCCGCAAUGCGCGAAAGCGUGACGGAGCAAUGCCGCGUGCAGGAUGAAGGCUUUCGGGUCGUAAACUGCUGUCACUCGGGAUGAAUAAUGACGUAACCGAGAGAGGAAGCCACGGCUAACUACGUGCCAGCAGCCGCGGUAAUACGUAGGUGGCGAGCGUUAUUCGGAUUUAUUGGGCGUAAAGGGUUCGUAGGGGGUUGCAUAAGUCUGAUGUGAAAUCCUGAGGCUCAACCUCAGAACUGCAUUGGAAACUGUGCGACUUGAGUAUCGGAGAGGUAAGUGGAAUUCCUGGUGUAGCGGUGGAAUGCGUAGGUAUCAGGAGGAACACCAAUGGCGAAGGCAGCUUACUGGACGAUUACUGACCCUGAGGAACGAAAGCUGGGGGAGCGAACAGGAUUAGAUACCCUGGUAGUCCCAGCUGUAAACGUUGUACACUAGGUGUAGGCAGAUUUGACCCUGUCUGUGCCCAAGCUAACGCGUUAAGUGUACCGCCUGGGGAGUACGGCCGCAAGGCUAAAACUCAAAGGAAUUGACGGGGGCCCGCACAAGCGGUGGAGCAUGUGGCUUAAUUCGAGGCAACGCGAAGAAUCUUACCUGGGCUUGACAUAUAUUUGACCGCCAUGGAAACAUGGCUUCCCUUUGGGCAGAUAUACAGGUGCUGCAUGGCUGUCGUCAGCUCGUGCCGUGAGGUGUUCGGUUAAGUCCGGCAACGAGCGCAACCCAUGCUACUAGUUACCGGCAUGUUAUGAUGGGGACUCUAGUAGGACUGCCCGUGCUAAGCGGGAGGAAGGCGUGGACGACGUCAAGUCAGUAUGGCCCUUACGCCCAGGGCUGCACGCGUGCUACAAUGGCCGGUACAGAGGGAUGCCACUCUGCGAAGAGGAGCGAAUCCCAAAAACCGGCCCCAGUUCGGAUUGUAGUCUGCAACUCGACUACAUGAAGUCGGAAUCGCUAGUAAAGGCGUAUCAGCAAUGGCGCCUUGAAUACGUUCCCGGGCCUUGUACACACCGCCCGUCACAUCACGGGAGCUGGCUGCACCCGAAGUCGCUGACUCAACCCGCAAGGGAGAGAGGCGCCGAAGGAGUGGCUGGUGACUGGGAUG